GGGCUAGUUUAUGGAUUCGAUUGGCUGUGUGGAUUUUCGUAAGCAUGUCGUGGUUGUGCACGUAAAAACACCGAGGUUUUUAAUUUAACCGCAAACAAUAAUCAAAAAUUAGCUUUCGCUGCUUAAUUUAGCAAAGCAUCUUCUAAUUUGCCGACUAUCAGGGCAAAUUAAGAGGAUUUCGAUACUGAUGGUUGAGUGAGUAGAUUUCUUUGUCUAUUUAUUCGAGAUUUAGAAGAUAGGGGUUAGUAUCUUGCUUGUUACAUACUAAUUCACGAACUAAAGAAAACAAGAUAAGCAUGUAGAAGUCGGGAUGAAAUGUAGUUAAGACAGGGGUUCAAAUCCCCUCUAGUCCACCA
rnacentral:tmRNA from 1 species